UUUAGAGUGCCAGAUUAUAUGGGUGUGAUUUAGGAUUAUAUUAAGGCUUUUUUAGUCCUCUAGC
rnacentral:tRNA from 1 species